rnacentral:rRNA from 1 species
UGUGUCCUACGGGGGGCAGCAGUGAGGAAUAUUGGUCAAUGGUCGGGAGACUGAACCAGCCAAGCCGCGUGAGGGAGGAAGGUACAGAGUAUCGUAAACCUCUUUUGUCAGGGAACAAAGGCGGGGACGUGUCCCCGGAUGAGUGUACCUGAAGAAAAAGCAUCGGCUAACUCCGUGCCAGCAGCCGCGGUAAUACGGAGGAUGCGAGCGUUAUCCGGAUUUAUUGGGUUUAAAGGGGGCGCAGGCGGGCUGUUAAGUCAGCGGGCAAAGCCCGGGGCUCAAACCCGGCCCGCCGUUGUAACUGG